UGAUAGCGAUGAAGCGUGAGGUUGCUGCCGAUAACGGCAGGUUUUCCGUGGAGCGAAUGUCAAGUUAGGAAACUGGCGACAA
rnacentral:ncRNA from 1 species